rnacentral:rRNA from 1 species
CCCGCUGAACUUAAGCAUAUCAAUAAGCGGAGGAAAAGAAACUAACAAGGAUUCCCCUAGUAACUGCGAGUGAAGCGGGAAGAGCUCAAAUUUGAAAUCUGGCGGUCCCUUGGGCUGUCCGAGUUGUAAUCUAGAGAAGUGCUACCUGUGCUGGACCGUGUACAAGUCUCCUGGAAUGGAGCAUCACAGAGGGUGAGAAUCCCGUCUUUGACACGGACUGCCAUGUGCGAUAUGGUGCGCUCUCGAAGAGUCGAGUUGUUUGGGAAUGCAGCUCAAAACGGGUGGUAAAUGCCAUCUAAAGCUAAAUAUUGGCGAGAGACCGAUAGCGAACAAGUACCGUGAGGGAAAGAUGAAAAGAACUUUGGAAAGAGAGUUAAACAGUACGUGAAAUUGCUGAAAGGGAAACGUUUGACACCAGUUAUGCGGGUGGAAAAUCAGUCUUUUGCAAUGGGGAGUUGUGGGCGUUCAGACCGCAAGGCUGGCGUUUGCUUCAUCUUUGUUGUAAGUGAUGCACUUUUUCAUUUGCAGGUCAACAUCAGUUUGCUUUGCUGGACAAAACCCCAAGGGAAGGUGGCAGCUUAGGCUGUGUUAUAGCCCUGGGGCGAUACAGUGGAGUGGACUGAGGUUUCGCAGUGUGUGCUCUCGGGCAAGGCUGACUGGGUGCUAUGGGAUCGUUCGGCGUACAAUGCAUGCAUUUUGCGUCGUGUCUUUUUCAUACUCGCUCAACUCGGCUCUUCCACACUUAGGAUGCUGACUUAAUGGUUUUAAACGACCCGUCUUGAAACACGG